rnacentral:rRNA from 1 species
CCGGAGCUUGCUCCACCGGAAAAAGAAGAGUGGCGAACGGGUGAGUAACACGUGGGUAACCUGCCCAUCAGAAGGGGAUAACACUUGGAAACAGGUGCUAAUACCGUAUAACAAUCGAAACCGCAUGGUUUUGAUUUGAAAGGCGCUUUCGGGUGUCGCUGAUGGAUGGACCCGCGGUGCAUUAGCUAGUUGGUGAGGUAACGGCUCACCAAGGCCACGAUGCAUAGCCGACCUGAGAGGGUGAUCGGCCACAUUGGGACUGAGACACGGCCCAAACUCCUACGGGAGGCAGCAGUAGGGAAUCUUCGGCAAUGGACGAAAGUCUGACCGAGCAACGCCGCGUGAGUGAAGAAGGUUUUCGGAUCGUAAAACUCUGUUGUUAGAGAAGAACAAGGAUGAGAGUAACUGUUCAUCCCUUGACGGUAUCUAACCAGAAAGCCACGGCUAACUACGUGCCAGCAGCCGCGGUAAUACGUAGGUGGCAAGCGUUGUCCGGAUUUAUUGGGCGUAAAGCGAGCGCAGGCGGUUUCUUA